rnacentral:rRNA from 1 species
GAGUUUGAUUAUGGCUCAGGAUGAACGCUAGCGAUAGGCUUAACACAUGCAAGUCGAGGGGCAGCACGGGAUUAGCUUGCUAAUCUUGGUGGCGACCGGCGUAAGGGUGCGUAACGCGUAUGCAACUUGCCUGUCAGUGGGGAAUAACCCGGAGAAAUCCGGACUAAUACCGCAUACACUUUAGUUUCCGCAUGGGAACUUUAGGAAAGAUUUAUUGCUGACAGAUAGGCAUGCGUUCCAUUAGAUAGUUGGUGAGGUAACGGCUCACCAAGUCGACGAUGGAUAGGGGAGCUGAGAGGCUUAUCCCCCACACUGGAACUGAGACACGGUCCAGACUCCUACGGGAGGCAGCAGUGAGGAAUAUUGGUCAAUGGGCGAGAGCCUGAACCAGCCAAGUCGCGUGAAGGAAGACGGUCCUAUGGAUUGUAAACUUCUUUAGUAGGUGAGUACAAGCAGUUACGUGUAGC